UGUUCUUCAUUCCUCUCCUUUUGUUCUAAUUUUGCCCUAGAUUUCCUGUAGUUUCAAGCGACGAGGGUUUUAAUCCUGCAUAUUUCUCGAUUUCCUGCAAUUAGAUCAGAAAGGUUUUUGUGGAGAAGAUCACGCCCCCUUCAAAGACAUCAGUUGGGAUCGUGAUCCGCUAAGAUGAUUAUGCAUUUUUUAUGUAUAUAAGGACAACAAAGCAGUGACACCGGCAGAAGGUCCGGAUGAAGGUCUGUUGUGUAUUGGAAUCAAUUUUGAGGAAAAAGGAU